GCCUAUGGUGCAUGCCGGGAGAGCGCAUCCGGCCCUCCUGUCCACGGUUCCCUGGGUGCCUCUAGGAUCUUUUUCUUUUUUCUUUCUUUUUUUUUUUUUUUUUAAGACGGGCCACGUUGGAUCCUUCUUUGAGCGGCAGCAUGAGUUCCGCUCCACGUCUUCCAGAAAGGGCUGCUGCUCAGAUGCUGGAUGGAAUAGAGUACUCCAAUGAGGUUGGGGAGUGAAUGUGGUUCAAACCACGUGUUGAGUCAGUGGUUGAGUUCCUUUACAGUGGUUCCACGUGGCAAGAGUCCAGAAGCUUAAGGAUGUGACGGUUUUUAAAAUUUCACUGCAUCUUUAUUUACCUGUGUUGCUUUUGAGGCAGAAUCAGCAUUCCAUAGCCCCUGCUGGUCACUUGGGGCUGUUGCUUGUUUUGUUGUUUUGGUUUCUCAAGACAGGUUUCUCUAUGUAUCCUUGGCUGACCUGGACUCACUUUGUAGACCAGGCUGGCAGCGAAAUCACAGAAAUCUGCCUGCCUCUGCCUCUGCCUCUAGGAAUAAAGGCGUGCGCCAUCACUGCCAGGCUUAGUCACUCGUUUAAGUUACCCAGGGUGGCUUAAGGUCUCAGCCUUCAACCUCACAAAUCCUGGAAUUACAGGCAUGAGCCAGCAUAGCCAGUUUAGAUGUUACUAGUUUUAUCCACAGAAAGGAAAGCAUCCCGAGAGAUGGUGGCAAACGCUAAUCCCAGCACUCAGGAGGUAGAGGCAGGCAGAUCUCUGAGUUCAAGGCCAACCUGCUCCAUAGAGGUAGUUCCAGGACAGCCAGACCUACAUAGAGAAACUCAGUCACAAAAAAAAAAACAAAUCAAGAAAGAAUGGAAAGGAAAGCAUUCAUAAGCAGUCUGGUGCUUUCUUUCUUUGCUCACCUCCUACUGUUGCUUUGUUUAUUCAAUCCGGAGUUGCUGUUAUUUUGUGGGAGCAGUAUAAAUUCCAGCUGCUUGCAUCUGAAUCCUGAGCCUAGUAAAUCCAUCUCAGUUCACUCACUUUAGGUAGAGUGGAAUAGUACCAACUUCUGAGGUAUGGUUUGGCUAAUUUCGUUUUGAGGCAGGGCCUCACUGAUGAGUUUGAAACUUGCUGGCCGUAAGUAACUCUUUUGAGCCUAACUCUAUAACCACAUAGAUGGAAUAGCUACCCCCAGCCUUUCUCCACCUAUUUUUUCUAGGCCCACUCCUAGGCCAGGUGCAAUGGGGACUGAGGUACUGGCUGAAUACUCCAUUGAGACUCUCCUGGCCUUACCCUCGAUCUUUUUCAAGUGGCACAGUUGAGCUCUGCAAGAUAGCCAUUGUUUGCCUAAGAAGAUAUUCCUGCACCACAGCUGACUAUGUUCAAAACAAAGUGUUUCAUGUAUGGCCCUUUAUGUAUAACAUCUUUAAUGUCAGGCUUCCAGUCCUGGUGAGACCUGAUAGGCUAGGGUCAGAUGGAAGGAGAAGAGGACCUUCCCUAUCAGUGGACUGGGGGAGGGGCACGGAAGGAGAUGAGGGAGGAAGGGUGCUACAGCCAGGAUGCAAAGUGAAUAAAUUGUAAUAAUUUAAAAAAUUAAUAAAUGAAAGAAAAAAAUGUCAGGGUUGAAAAGAUAGAUCAAUAGUUAAGAUCAAUUCUUCCAGAGGUCCUGAGUUUGAUUGCCACCUACUUGUGAUUUCAGCUCCACGGGAUCCAAAACAUCUAGCCUCUGCUUGCAUCCACACACAUGACACACACUGGAGGAUGAGUACACAAACGCAGGCAUGCAUGCACACAUGAUAAAAAUUAUAUAUAUAUAUAUAUAUAUUUAAAAUGUCAGGUUUGGAUUUGCUUCCUGUCCAUUUCAAUAUAUCCUGAGUCUGACACAGCACCAAUCCCUUGAUCCAGUUUAAAUGAGUAACUGCAUGAAUUUUUCCUUUAGCUGUGAGACUUUGCUAAAGGAAAAAUUCAUGCAGUUGAGUGGUUCUGUAGUGUAUAUAUGUCCAGCAUAUCUCAGUGCUUCAUCUUUAAGAAUUAGUGUGACUACACUGGCUUGUCUUUUUCACUUACAAAUAAAUUCAUUUUGUGAGAACUUUGUUAAGCAUUGUACAGGGCUUAUCUACAGCUUAUCUACAGUUUAUUUACUAUAAUUUAUUUAUUUAUUGGACCUUCCCUAUAGUUCAAAUGAGAUUGUAAAAUUCUCUUCCAGUUUUGUAAGUGUAUUAUUUCAGAGUAAAUAAGGAAGGUUGGACGGACUCCAGCUAGAGAAGACCUGAGAGGGAUAUUAAGGAUCCCAAGUAGUGGCUGUUCUGUCCAUGAAGAGAUGGUCAGUCUCUCAUCUCAAACUAAGGACACUACAAGACACUGAGUACCUGGAUGUCAAGACCCUGCCUUCCCUGUGAGUUGCCAAGUGCAAGAUCAUCAGUCUCUCUUGUGUGCUUCAUCUUAAGGGUCCUGCUGUGCAGCCCAGAACUCACUAGAUCAACAAAGGCAGACCUCCCGCUUAUGGCUGUUUUCAGGCCUGUUUCUGGAAUGCUGGGCCUACAAGUGUGAGCCAGCUCCAUCUUCAGGUCUGUGGAUGAAUGAGAAGGGCAAAAAGGAUGGCUCUUCUCGGAUUUGAAAUAAAAUGGAAGUGCACACCCAGGGCAAGUUUCUGUCCUGCUCCUCAUCUCGCUAACCUUUGAUUUCCAGGUCCCUUCAACCGUGCAUUCAUCUUCCACUAUCCAUGGAGUUUGUAUGAGACCUUGUGGCUCAGAAGCUGGACAGAACCUCUAGUCUCGCCCCGCCCAUCGCUGUGUGGAGUGAGGAUGAAGAGAAGGGGUGGGACCCGGCGGGGCAGGGGGCUCAGGGAAACCAGACGGCGGAGCGGGUUCCUGAGCGUCCGGGCGCAGUGGUGUCGAGGAGGCUUUGUGGCACGCUCGGCCUCCACCGGGUGCAGUGUAAGUACAGCUACCCGCACUCUUCCGGGCCGCCGGUGUCGCCUGGCCAGCCCCGCGCCUCCCUGGCGCGCGUGAGCAGCCGCCGCCCGAGCCGUGCGACACGGUCCGCGCCUUUGAGCCGAGAAGCACACGUUCCAGGAUGAGGUGCUCAGCGACCGGCUCACCUACCUGACUGUGGACCCGCCCAAGUCCGUCUGGAGGAUCGUGGGUCUGCGGAUCGUCGUGGCUAUGGACUUGGUGAGGCUCACGGGCGGGCAUCCUCCCUCCUCCCCAUCUCUUGAAUCAGUGAAAGCAGGGGGUUGCUGUAAAAUUUCAAAUGAAGACGUCCUCCUGUCCUCCUGCCCACCCUCUGCUCCCUACACUGGGCCGGCAAUGUGACAGCUCGUGCCUCUACAGAAACACGCCUGAUAGCCAGCAGCUUCCUGUUCGUUGAGCGCCUAGCGCCUAGUCUGUGCCGGUACAGGGCGGCUACUUCCUUGUAGCUGAAGUUCAGUCGGCGUGUGAGGACUGGUCCAGAAUAGGCGAGUGAGUGAAUGAAUUUGCAGGAUGUGCAGAGGAUCCUGGCUCCUUUCAGGCCGGCCACUUGAUGCAAGCUGGGUAGGGAAACUUCCUGGAAGAAGUCAUCAGAGCUGAGAGAUACAAAGUGGCCUCGCUUAGCUUUGCCCUGUUGUUUACAGUGUUGCCACUGUAUCCCUUUCCUCAGGGAACAGAUUGGCUUUAAGGACCAGCAGCCAGCUGGAGGCACAGCCUCCUCUGCCGCUUUUCCUCUCAUUGCCUCCAGGUCUCUUUGCUUGCCAGGUGUUCCUGCCUUUUCCCACUGGGACAGGUGUCUCACCUUUUACUCUCGCUUGCCUAAAGUCUGUGCCCCCAAGGGAGAAGUUGGCAAGGCUCUCGGUGGAGCCGUUUUGCCCAGAGAAUCGUCACUUGGUCUCAACACAUUUAGAAGAAAAUAAAAAAAAUAUAUUUUUUAAUUCUACUCAGAUUUCCCUCUUCAGUUGUGGCCACUUUUGUUUCUUUAAAACCUUUAUUUAAUACACUUUAUUUUGUGUGCACAUGUGUGUGUGUGUCAUGGUGAGAACGUGGGGGUCAGAAGACAGCUUGUUUAAGUCAGUGUUCUCACCUCGUGGGUCUUGGAACUUGAACACAGGCGUUCAGGCUUGGCGUUAAAUAAGCACCCUUAGCUGCUGAGCCACCUCACCAGCUCCUUCUGUUCGUCUGUCUCUCUAUCUAUCUAAAGUAAAAGAAGUAAAUCCUUGCCACUCUUUUUAGCUAAUUAAAAAAUUAAAUCGACAAAAAUUUUAAAAUUGAACCCUGGUCUUGUGCCAGACGAGCGUUCUACCACUGUACCGCUUCACAGUCUGACCAAGCAUGUUAGAGCUUUAUGCACCCAGCACUUUUAACUAAACAAACAUGGGUUGUUUUGAUGAAAAUGUGAUUUUUUGAUACUGCUAUUCUUCCCCGAGACAGACGGUAUAUUGGUAGCUGUUACACAUCCUAAUUUAAGGCCUCGGAAACAGAACAGCACCAAAAUACUUGUUAGGGCCCGAAGAGCCAAGAAUCCCUUAAAAAGACACGGACAAGGCUUAACUUUCAAGAUUGCAGGAGAAUAUUUUUGUUAUUGAGGGGAUGCUGGCCAGCUUGAAGGAGGCGAGCAUGGCUCUGGCAGGCCUGGCCCUUCUCCUCAAUUCCCUCUGCCUUGCUAAAAACCAUUUUUACAUUCCUAAAGCUAGCCCCCCCCCCCCAAGCUAUUCCUUUAUUUGGCCAAUUCCCCCUUCUGACACUGACUACCACUGUCUAGCUAUCAAAGAAUUGAAGUCCAGCAAUCAAAAGUUCCCUUUGGUCCACCUAAUUAACAAGCCAGUUAAUUAAACAUCUCACCCUAACACAGGGGUUCUCAAUUUGCACAUAUACCCAGAGGCAGUCCUUUGUCCUCUGGGACAACCCCCC